UCUUAACUCUGGCGGCGUGCCUAAUACAUGCAAGUCGAGCGAACAGACGAGGAGCUUGCUCCUCUGACGUUAGCGGCGGACGGGUGAGUAACACGUGGAUAACCUACCUAUAAGACUGGGAUAACUUCGGGAAACCGGAGCUAAUACCGGAUAAUAUAUUGAACCGCAUGGUUCAAUAGUGAAAGACGGUUUUGCUGUCACUUAUAGAUGGAUCCGCGCCGCAUUAGCUAGUUGGUAAGGUAACGGCUUACCAAGGCGACGAUGCGUAGCCGACCUGAGAGGGUGAUCGGCCACACUGGAACUGAGACACGGUCCAGACGCCUACGGGAGGCCGCAGUAGGGAAUCUUCCGCAAUGGGCGAAAGCCUGACGGAGCAACGCCGCGUGAGUGAUGAAGGUCUUCGGAUCGUAAAACUCUGUUAUUAGGGAAGAACAAAUGUGUAAGUAACUAUGCACGUCUUGACGGUACCUAAUCAGAAAGCCACGGCUAACUACGUG
rnacentral:rRNA from 1 species